GCUGUCCGCACAGAGCCCGACGCGGGGCUCGAACCCACCAUGACCUGAGCCGAAGUCAGAUGCUUAACCGACUGAGUCACCCAGGCACCAAAAAGAAAUUUCAUUUAAAGGCUCACAAUGUGUUAGUGUUUAGUUUUUGAUAAUAAAUAAGAGAGUUAUUAGAGAAAUCUUUUGAGAGAUUUUGGAAAAAGUAACAAUAUUUAUUCAGAGUAGCUGGGAAGUGCCAGGGCACACACACAUCGGGAGGAAUAUAUAUACGUUGUUUCUAUUCUUUGGAUCCUAAACAAUUGACUGAGGGUAUUUUGUAAUCCUUCAACUACCCGUAUACACGUUUAGCUUAUAAUAACCUGUGCUGUGUGCAUUCUCCUGGGAGAAAGGGGUCAGGGUGACAAGGUGAGUUUUAUGAUUCAAAGUCUGGCGGAUAAGGACUGUCAGCCAGAGAAGAAUUAAAAGGAAAAAUCUCCCUCAGCUCCAAAUGCAGCAUUUGAAAGCAACAUUUUAAUCAGAUCAUUUCAUAUUUUACAGAGGAGUCAUCUUUUACAGGAAAAAAAUUUUUUUUCCCAACACACGAAGGGCAAAAAAAUGAGACCCAUGGGAAAUGAUUUCUUCACAAUGCGGCUAUUUAAUUGAUCUAUUUGGAAAUCUUCUACCAUGUUGCUGCAUGCUAAUUGGAAGUCAUUUUAAAGCAGAAUCAGCUUGGAUCACAACUGAUUUAAUGCAGUGUAGCUGGCCGGCCCAACUUGGGAGGAAAGUGUGCAUGAAAACCCUGCUUUUACAAGCCCCGUGGAGAGAGCAGUUAUUUGGAUGAGGCAGAACAGCAGUCUAGAAGGCCAGUGAUGACACAGACCUUGGCGGCCUUUCAGAAGUGACAGCCACGUCUUCAGUUACACUCCUCACGCCCCCCCCGGUGUGGGGCAACAGAUCAGUGGAGCGCCCUCUGCCCACAAACCCUCCCCUCCGGAGCCUCCCCCAGCCCGGUUUCCAGGUUCAAAAUGUGCCUCCUGGAAAGAUGGAUCGAAAAACUCCCAAUUGUUUUGGCCUUUUCAAAGAGUCCCUAAGAUUCGGAUUACUUCGGGAGGAGGAUUAGAUGGGCUUCACUGAAAGAUGACGCCUUGGGACUUUGUGAGCUCAUCUCACUGUCCAAAGCUCUGGAGUUGCAGUGAUGAGUAAGAGGGAUUUUCCCUCAAAGGACUUUUGGAGGAGCAGGUGGCAGACAGUGAUACAAGCUGAUGCAGAGAAACCGGCAAAGUGAAAGAGAAGCAGUCCCAGACAGCUGGGUCUCCUGGAAGGCUUCCCAAAGGAGACAGCGUGUGAUCUGGCCUUAAAGGACGAGUGGAAUUUUCACAGGGAAGCCUGAACUUCAGGAUCUGAUGGACUGGACAGGAAAGAGACACUCCUCUGUGCUGCUGACGUGUUCUUAAGGACAGCUAAUAACUGAGCAAAGUCGGAGGUGGCCACAAGAAGGACAGCUAGUCCAGACUAGAAGAGAGAGAGUUAACCGUCCUCACACGGAGCAGCCUCUCCUUGUCAUUUGGCAUCAUCAUGGCUGUCCUGCUAAAGACAAAACACAUUUUCCAAAAGAAGGCUCUUUUGACCCCUUGGCUGCUGUUCCAAAAUGGGGAAAUAUUACCAGGAUGAAAAUUACGCAGGGCAAAUAUUCAUGAAGAAAUGUGGUCUAAUGGAAGUCACGUCUAUAAAAUAUCCAAUGCUUAGAAAUAAAUGAGAAUUCUGUCAAUCAUCUAAAUGACUCCAUAUCUGGAAUUAUACACAGUAGAUUGCCUGCUUUUUUUUUUUUUUUUAACAUUUUGUCCAGAUGUUUAUAUACGGUCUUUACAUUUUAUUAUUUGAUGUUUAUUUUAUGUUUAAUUUACAGACAGCCCUUUCUUCACCAAUCCAUCUGGUCUACUAAGAAAAACAAUCCUUUCUGGACGGGGGGAAUUUGGCAGAAAGACAGACCCAUCGAACGCCGUGGGUCUCAACUUCCUGUACCACUACUGUCUUAACCAAGAGCUUGUCAAAUCCACUCCGUGGCCACAGUUUUUCACAGUCAGAUGUUUUCAAUUUGUCUUCCAAUAUGAUGUUUACUCAAACAUUUGGCAGAUUUAUAAUUUCUCCAUUCUCCCCUGCCAC